rnacentral:rRNA from 1 species
UACGAAGGGGGCUAGCGUUGUUCGGAAUCACUGGGCGUAAAGCGUACGUAGGCGGACCAUUAAGUCGGGGGUGAAAUCCUGGAGCUCAACUCCAGAACUGCCUUUGAUACUGGCGACCUUGAGUCCGGGAGAGGUGAGUGGAACUGCGAGUGUAGAGGUGAAAUUCGUAGAUAUUCGCAAGAACACCAGUGGCGAAGGCGGCUCACUGGCCCGGUACUGACGCUGAGGUGCGAAAGCGUGGGGAGCAAACAGG